GACGAACGUUGGCGGCGUGCUUAACACAUGCAAGUCGAACGGUAAGGCUCCAGCUUGCUGGGGUACACGAGUGGCGAACGGGUGAGUAACACGUGGGUGACCUGCCCUGCACUUCGGGAUAAGCCUGGGAAACUGGGUCUAAUACCGGAUAGGACCGCACCGUGAGGGUGUGGUGGAAAGUUUUUUCGGUGUGGGAUGGGCCCGCGGCCUAUCAGCUUGUUGGUGGGGUAAUGGCCUACCAAGGCGGCGACGGGUAGCCGGCCUGAGAGGGUGGACGGCCACAUUGGGACUGAGACACGGCCCAGACUCCUACGGGAGGCAGCAGUGGGGAAUAUUGCACAAUGGGCGGAAGCCUGAUGCAGCGACGCCGCGUGGGGGAUGACGGCCUUCGGGUUGUAAACUCCUUUCACCAUCGACGAAGGGUUUCUGACGGUAGAUGGAGAAGAAGCACCGGCUAACUACGUGCCAGCAGCCGCGGUAAUACGUAGGGUGCGAGCGUUGUCCGGAAUUACUGGGCGUAAAGAGCUCGUAGGUGGUUUGUCGCGUCGUCUGUGAAAUUCCGGGGCUUAACCCCGGGCGUGCAGGCGAUACGGGCAUAACUUGAGUACUGUAGGGGAGACUGGAAUUCCUGGUGUAGCGGUGAAAUGCGCAGAUAUCAGGAGGAACACCGGUGGCGAAGGCGGGUCUCUGGGCAGUAACUGACGCUGAGGAGCGAAAGCAUGGGGAGCGAACAGGAUUAGAUACCCUGGUAGUCCAUGCCGUAAACGGUGGGCGCUAGGUGUGGGUUUCCUUCCACGGGAUCCGUGCCGUAGCUAACGCAUUAAGCGCCCCGCCUGGGGAGUACGGCCGCAAGGCUAAAACUCAAAGGAAUUGACGGGGGCCCGCACAAGCGGCGGAGCAUGUGGAUUAAUUCGAUGCAACGCGAAGAACCUUACCUGGGCUUGACAUAUACAGGAUCGCGCCAGAGAUGGUGUUUCCCUUGUGGCUUGUAUACAGGUGGUGCAUGGUUGUCGUCAGCUCGUGUCGUGAGAUGUUGGGUUAAGUCCCGCAACGAGCGCAACCCUUGUCUUAUGUUGCCAGCACGUUGUGGUGGGGACUCGUAAGAAACUGCCGGGGUUAACUCGGAGGAAGGUGGGGAUGACGUCAAAUCAUCAUGCCCCUUAUGUCCAGGGCUUCACACAUGCUACAAUGGUCGGUACAGUGGGUUGCCAGUCCGUGAGGGCGAGCUAAUCCCGCAAAGCCGGUCUCAGUUCGGAUCGGGGUCUGCAACUCGACCCCGUGAAGUCGGAGUCGCUAGUAAUCGCAGAUCAGCAACGCUGCGGUGAAUACGUUCCCGGGCCU
rnacentral:rRNA from 1 species